AAAAAAAGGAGACUGCGGCCACCGAUCCAUUCUCCAUCGUCUCUCUCCUCUCCAGGAAUGAACACUCCAUCUUCCAAAUCCCAUCAACGCCUCUUCUCUGUCUUCCAAAUUCCCCUCAACGAUGAAUUCGACUGGGAAGCAGCAGACAGAGGGAUCGACGUCGCUUGCCAAUCCACAAACCCCCCGAUUCAAACCCAAUUGCAACAGACACUAAUAACGUUCCAUCUUCUUCUACCAAUACCCACAAGAACUCCAGCGUACGAUCGGAGGGCCGAAUCGAUCGAGAAAUCGAUCAGGACAGAGUCGAGGGUAGUGUACGGAUGGCCAUGGAUUAAACAGAAGUACUAAAAUCCUAGCAGAAGGGUUGCAUGUGGGUAUGUAAUAGUAUAGGUGGGUAGCCUUCCAAGAUAAAUCGUGAUUGGAUUCAGGUAUCGUUUUUGUUUUGCAGUGCUAAUUCUAUUUUGUUUGGAAACGAUAAUUGGUUAGUUGUUGCCGAUUUGGUUGACAGUCAAUAAUAAGUUAGUAUAGUUAUCUCAUCUUUUGAUCUUCACCUCAAAAGGUUUGAAAUCUCAGUAUAUG